rnacentral:rRNA from 1 species
GUGUCAGCAGCCGCGGUAAUACAGAGGGUGCGAGCGUUAAUCGGAAUUACUGGGCGUAAAGCGCGCGUAGGCGGCUAUACAAGUCGAGUGUGAAAUCCCCGGGCUCAACCUGGGAACUGCAUUCGAGACUGUAUGGCUUGAGUAUGGGAGAGGGAGGCGGAAUUUCAGGUGUAGCGGUGAAAUGCGUAGAUAUCUGAAGGAACAUCAGUGGCGAAAGCGGCCUCCUGGACCAAUACUGACGCUCAUGUGCGAAAGCGUGGGGAGCAAACAGGAUUAGAUACCCUGGUAGUCC